ACUGUAUCUUGGCUGUUUGGCUAAGAUCAAGUGGAGUAUCUUUUCUUAUCAGUUUAAUGUUAGGGCUGAGACAGGAACAUUUCCUGCAUGUCUGUGUACAAUUGCAUGAAAUUUGAAGUUUCUGUUUACAAAGAGUCCCCUUCUAUAUUUCCCACCUUGGGAAGAUCAUCA
rnacentral:snRNA from 1 species